UACAGAGGUGGCAAGCGUUGUCCGGAUUUACUGGGCGUAAAGAGCGUGUAGGCGGCCAAACAGGUCCGUUGUGAAAACUGGAGGCUCAACCUCCAGACGUCGACGGAAACCGUGUGGCUAGAGUCCGGAAGAGGAGAGUGGAAUUCCUGGUGUAGCGGUGAAAUGCGCAGAUAUCAGGAAGAACACCAAUGGCGAAGGCAGCUCUCUGGGACGGUACUGACGCUGAGACGCGAAAGCGUGGGGAGCGAACAGG
rnacentral:rRNA from 1 species